rnacentral:rRNA from 1 species
UAACCAUGAUUCCCCUAGUAACGGCGAGUGAAGAGGGAAAAGCUCAAAGUUGGAACCUGGCUGCCCUAGGCAGUCCGGAUUGUAAACUAAAGAGCGUGAUUCCAGGCAAGCCGGUUGACCAAGUCCUUUGGAAUGAGGCGCCACUGAGGGUGAGAGCCCCGUAAGUCGACUGAGCAUUUGUCUUUUGUGUUUCGCGUUCAAAGAGUCAGGUUGUUUGGGAAUGCAGCCUAAAGCUGGUGGUAAAUCCCACCUAAAGCUAAAUACAGGCGAGAGACCGAUAGCGAACAAGUACCGUGAGGGAAAGAUGAAAAGAACUUUGAAAAGAGAGUUAAACAGUAUGUGAAAUUGCCAAGAGGGAAGCAUUUGGAGUUAGAUUGACUAGGAGUUAAUCAGCUUGGUCUUUGGACUGGGUGUACUUGACUUCUUACAGUCUGCCAAUAGCAGUUAGUCCUAGUGGAAAAAACCAGAGGGAAGGUAGUCCUUCGGGAUGUUUAUAGACCUUUGGAAAAUACACUGGGAUUGACUGAGGAAUGCAGUAGAUGCCACUAAGGCUUCGUCUAGUGGGUGCUAGGCAAAGGUACUUGGUAUUUUCAGCUUGCUGAUGUGCUAGGUUACUCGAGUCUAGUCGCCUACUAGAACUGUAAUCUACUUUGGUUAUUGGCUUAAUGACU